GUCGACGCGUUGGCCAAUUGAUUGAUGGUGCUUGCACCUGAUUGAUUUUGGUUGCCAACGAGUGGCGGACGGGUGAGUAACACGUAGGUAACCUGCCCAGAAGCGGGGGACAACAUUUGGAAACAGAUGCUAAUACCGCAUAACAGCGUUGUUCGCAUGAACAACGCUUAAAAGAUGGCUUCUCGCUAUCACUUCUGGAUGGACCUGCGGUGCAUUAGCUUGUUGGUGGGGUAACGGCCUACCAAGGCGAUGAUGCAUAGCCGAGUUGAGAGACUGAUCGGCCACAAUGGGACUGAGACACGGCCCAUACUCCUACGGGAGGCAGCAGUAGGGAAUCUUCCACAAUGGGCGCAAGCCUGAUGGAGCAACACCGCGUGAGUGAAGAAGGGUUUCGGCUCGUAAAGCUCUGUUGUUAAAGAAGAACACGUAUGAGAGUAACUGUUCAUACGUUGACGGUAUUUAACCAGAAAGUCACGGCUAACUACGUGCCAGCAGCCGCGGUAAUACGUAGGUGGCAAGCGUUAUCCGGAUUUAUUGGGCGUAAAGAGAGUGCAGGCGGUUUUCUAAGUCUGAUGUGAAAGCCUUCGGCUUAACCGGAGAAGUGCAUCGGAAACUGGAUAACUUGAGUGCAGAAGAGGGUAGUGGAACUCCAUGUGUAGCGGUGGAAUGCGUAGAUAUAUGGAAGAACACCAGUGGCGAAGGCGGCUACCUGGUCUGCAACUGACGCUGAGACUCGAAAGCAUGGGUAGCGAACAGGAUUAGAUACCCUGGUAGUCCAUGCCGUAAACGAUGAGUGCUAGGUGUUGGAGGGUUUCCGCCCUUCA
rnacentral:rRNA from 1 species